rnacentral:sRNA from 12 species
GCGCCACGUUGCUUACGGGCGCGUGGGCCGACCAUCAAACCUAUGGUCAGCCGUGUUGUCCUGCUUCGGCGAAUACCUUUGGGGGUCUGGUAGAGCGUCUAGUAGCCUGUGGCGACACACGGCGAACGACGCGGCCAGC